AACGUAGGAGACAAACGUUAUCCGGAGUUACUGGGCGUAAAGGGCGUGCAGGUGGUCUGUUAAGUCUGUCGUGAAAUCCCCGGGCUCAACCUGGGAAUGGCGAUGGAUACUGGCGAGCUAGAGUGUGUCAGAGGAUGGUGGAAUUCCCGGUGUAGCGGUGAAAUGCGUAGAGAUCGGGAGGAACAUCAGUGGCGAAGGCGGCCAUCUGGGACAACACUGACGCUGAAGCACGAAAGCGUGGGGAGCAAACAGG
rnacentral:rRNA from 1 species